UACGAAGGGGGCUAGCGUUACUCGGAAUUACUGGGCGUAAAGGGCGCGUAGGCGGCUUGGUAAGUCAGGCGUGAAAUUCCCGGGCUCAACCUGGGGACUGCGCUUGAGACUGCUGGGCUAGAGGAUGGAAGAGGGUCGUGGAAUUCCCAGUGUAGAGGUGAAAUUCGUAGAUAUUGGGAAGAACACCGGUGGCGAAGGCGGCGACCUGGUCCAUUACUGACGCUGAGGCGCGACAGCGUGGGGAGCAAACAGG
rnacentral:rRNA from 2 species